rnacentral:rRNA from 1 species
UACGAACUGUGCGAACGUUAUUCGGAAUCACUGGGCUUACAGGGUGCGUAGGCGGCCUGACAAGUAGGGUGUGAAAGCCCCCGGCUCAACCGGGGAAUGGCGCCCUAAACUGUCGGGCUGGAGUGAGAUAGGGGUGUGCGGAACUUCCGGUGGAGCGGUGAAAUGUGUUGAUAUCGGAAGGAACGCCGGUGGCGAAAGCGGCACACUGGAUCUCAACUGACGCUGAGGCACGAAAG